AACGCGAAGAACCUUACCUGGUCUUGACAUCCACGGAAUUCGGCAGAGAUGCCUUAGUGCCUUCGGGAACCGUGAGACAGGUGCUGCAUGGCUGUCGUCAGCUCGUGUUGUGAAAUGUUGGGUUAAGUCCCGCAACGAGCGCAACCCUUAUCCUUUGUUGCCAGCGGUCCGGCCGGGAACUCAAAGGAGACUGCCAGUGAUAAACUGGAGGAAGGUGGGGAUGACGUCAAGUCAUCAUGGCCCUUACGACCAGGGCUACACACGUGCUACAAUGGCAUAUACAAAGAGAAGCGACCUCGCGAGAGCAAGCGGACCUCAUAAAGUAUGUCGUAGUCCGGAUUGGAGUCUGCAACUCGACUCCAUGAAGUCGGAAUCGCUAGUAAUCGUGGAUCAGAAUGCCACGGUGAAUACGUUCCCGGGUCUUGUACACACCG
rnacentral:rRNA from 1 species